AGAGUUUGAUCCUGGCUCAGAACGAACGCUGGCGGCAGGCCUAACACAUGCAAGUCGAGCGCUAUAGCAAUACAGAGCGGCGCACGGGAUAAUAACGCGUGGGAACCUACCUUUCGGUUCGGAAUAACAUCGGGAAACUGGUGCUAAUACCGGAUACGCCCUUCGGGGGAAAAGAUUUAUUGCCGAAAGAUGGGCCCGCGUUGGAUUAGCUAGUUGGUGAGGUAACGGCUCACCAAGGCUACGAUCCAUAGCUGGUCUGAGAGGAUGAUCAGCAUCACUGGGACUGAGACACGGCCCAGACUCCUACGGGAGGCAGCAGUGGGGAAUAUCGGACAAUGGGGGCAACCCUGAUCCAGCCAUGCCGCGUGAAUGAUGAACGCCUUCGGGAUUGUAAAGUUCUUUUGGCGGGGACGAUGAUGACGGUACCCGCAGAAUAA
rnacentral:rRNA from 1 species